rnacentral:tRNA from 1 species
GGGCCGAUAGCUCAUCAGGUAGAGCGACGGACUUUUAAUCCGUUGAGCCAGGUUCGAGUCCUGGUCGGCCCA